GGAAUCUUCCACAAUGGACGCAAGUCUGAUGGAGCAACGCCGCGUGAGUGAAGAAGGCUUUCGGGUCGUAAAACUCUGUUAUUGAAGAAGAACGUGUGUGACAGUAACUGGUCAUGCAGUGACGGUAUUCAAUCAGAAAGUCACGGCUAACUACGUGCCAGCAGCCGCGGUAAUACGUAGGUGGCAAGCGUUGUCCGGAUUUAUUGGGCGUAAAGCGAGUGCAGGCGGUCUUUUAAGUCUGAUGUGAAAGCCUUCGGCUUAACCGAAGAAGGGCAUCGGAAACUGGGAG
rnacentral:rRNA from 1 species